rnacentral:tRNA from 1 species
AAGUCCCGCGUUGUCAGACAUAUUCGAUUGCAAAUCGAAAGAAGCAGACGAAGGUUUGCCGGGGCUUC